rnacentral:rRNA from 1 species
AGUGGAUGGGGAGCAACCUAGUUGUGCGUGUGUAAAGGUAGUGCCAAGAAAAGCGAUGAUCAUGUUGAAAAUCAAUUCCCGGUACCCGAAACCGACACAGGUGGGCAAGUAGAGAAUACUAAGGGGCGCGAGGUAACUCUCUCCAAGGAACUCGGCAAAAUGACCCCGUAACUUAGGGAGAAGGGGUGCCACCGAGAGGUGGUCGCAGUGAAGAGGCCCAGGCGACUGUUUAGCAAAAACAUAGGUCUCUGCAAACUCGAAAGAGGAGGUAUAGGGGCUGACGCCUGCCCAGUGCCGGAAGGUUAAAGAAGUUGGUCAGUUUUAGGAUGAAGCUAGCGACUGAAGCCCCGGUGAACGGCGGCCGUAACUAUAACGGUCCUAGGUAGCGAAAUUCCUUGUCGGGUAAGUUCCGACCCGCACGAAAGGCGUAACGAUCUGGGCGCUGUCUCGGAGAGAGGCUCAGCGAAAUAGGAUUGUCUGUGAAGAUACGGACUACCUGCAUUUGGACAGAAAGACCCUAUGAAGCUUUACUAUAGCUUGGAAUUGUGUUCGGGCUUCCUGUGCGCAGGAUAGGUGGGAGGCGUAGAAGGUAUUCUUGUGGGGAUACUGGAGCCAACGGUGAGAUACCACUCUCAGGAGGCUAGAAUUCUAACUUAAUUAAGGACAGUUUCAGGUGGGUAGUUUGACUGGGGCGGUCGCCUCCAAAAAGGUAACGGAGGCGUACAAAGGUUCCCUCAGACUGGUUGGAAAUCAGUCGAAGAGUGCAAAGGCAGAAGGGAGCUUGACUGCGAGAAGUACAGUUCGAGCAGGGUGGAAACACGGUCUUAGUGAUCCGACGGUGCUGUGUGGAAGGGCCGUCGCUCAACGGAUAAAAGUUACUCUAAGGAUAACAGGCUGAUCUCCCCCCAGAGUUCACAUCGACGGGGAGGUUUGGCACCUCGAUGUCGGCUCAUCGCAACCUGGGGCGGAAGUACGUCCCAAGGGUUGGGCUGUUCGCCCAUUAAAGCGGUACGUGAGCUGGGUUCAGAACGUCGUGAGACAGUUCGGUCCAUAUCCGAUGUAGGCGUGAGAAUAUUGAGAGGAGCCUUCCUUAGUACGAGAGGACCGGGAAGGACGCACCGCUGGUGUACCUGUUAUGAUGCCAAUUGUAAACGCAGGGUAGCCAAGUGCGGAGAGGAUAACCGCUGAAAGCAUCUAAGUGGGAAGCCCACCUCAAGAUGAGUAUUCUGGUGUAAGGUCACGGGAAGACGACCCGUAAAUAGGCACGAGGUGGAAGUGCAGAGAUGUAUGAAGCCGAAGUGUACUAAUAGACCGUCGGCUU